UACAGUUGAAGGAAAUUCAAAUUAACGUCAAUUCCAGGAAAGGGAAUUCAUAUACCUCAGUAUUAGAUGAGACGACAAAUAUUCCACUAUAUUUAUUAUGGAGUAAUGGAAUUAUUGAAAAAAUAUAUACAAAUAACAAUGAUAUUUCUAAUAUACUAAAAGGAAUUGCUAGUAAUUUUCAAUUACAAACAAUUGAAACAACUAGCACAGAGAUUUCAGAGGUAGAUGUUUCUGGUGAAUGUAAAAUGAAAUA